CCCUUAGAUGUCCUGGGCCGCACGCGUGCUACACUGACACUUACACCGAGUUUUUCCGGCCCCGAGAGGUGGCUGGUAAUCAGUAAUAGGUGUCGUGAUGGGGAUAGAUCUUUGGAAUUAUUGAUCUUGAACGAGGAAUGCCUAGUAAUCGUAGGUCAUCAGCCUGCGAUGAUUACGUCCCUGCCCUUUGUACACACCGCCCGUCGCUCCUACCGAUUUCGAGUGGUCCGGUGAACCUUUCGGACAGAGAGAGUCUCGUACAAUCUCUGAAAGUCAAGUAAACCACAUCACUUAGAGGAAGGAGAAGUCGUANCA
rnacentral:rRNA from 1 species